GAGUGAAGCGGCAAGAGCUCAAAUUUGAAAUCUGGCCCCUUCGGGGUCCGAGUUGUAAUUUGUAGAGGAUGCUUCGGGUGCGGCCCCCGUCUAAGUGCUCUGGAACGGGCCAUCGGAGAGGGUGAGAAUCCCGUCUGGGACGGGGUGUCCGCGUCCAUGUGAAGCUCCUUCGACGAGUCGAGUUGUUUGGGAAUGCAGCUCUAAAUGGGUGGUAAAUUUCAUCUAAAGCUAAAUACUGGCCGGAGACCGAUAGCGCACAAGUAGAGUGAUCGAAAGAUGAAAAGCACUUUGAAAAGAGAGUUAAACAGCACGUGAAAUUGUUGAAAGGGAAGCGCUUGCGACCAGACUCGCUUCCGGGGUUCAGCCGGCUUUCGGGCCGGUGUACUUCCCCGGGGGCGGGCCAGCGUCGGUUUGGGCGGCCGGUCAAAGGCCCCUGGAAUGUAACGCCCCUCGGGGCGCCUUAUAGCCAGGGGUGUCAUGCGGCCAGCCUGGACCGAGGAACGCGCUUCGGCACGGACGCUGGCAUAAUGGUCGUAAACGACCCGUCUUGAAACACGGACCAAGGAGUCUAACAUCUACGCGAGUGUUCGGGUGUCAAACCCGUGCGCGCAGUGAAAGCGAACGGAGGUGGGAGCCCCCUCGAGGGGCGCACCAUCGACCGAUCCUGAUGUCUUCGGAUGGAUUUGAGUAAGAGCGUAGCUGUGGGGACCCGAAAGAUGGUGAACUAUGCCUGAAUAGGGCGAAGCCAGAGGAAA
rnacentral:rRNA from 1 species